rnacentral:rRNA from 1 species
UACGUAGGUGGCAAGCGUUGUCCGGAUUUAUUGGGUUUAAAGGGUGCGUAGGCGGUUUUGUAAGUCAGUGGUGAAAUACUCCAGCUUAACUGGAGGGGUGCCAAUGAUACUGCAGAACUUGAGUACAGAUGAGGUAGGCGGAAUUGACGGUGUAGCGGUGAAAUGCAUAGAUAUCGUCAAGAACACCGAUAGCGAAGGCAGCUUACUGGGCUGUAACUGACGCUGAGGCGCGAAAGCCAGGGGAGCGAACGGG